rnacentral:rRNA from 1 species
UGGGGAAUAUUGGACAAUGGGCGCAAGCCUGAUCCAGCCAUGCCGCGUGAGUGAUGAAGGCCUUAGGGUUGUAAAGCUCUUUCGCCGGUGAAGAUAAUGACGGUAACCGGAGAAGAAGCCCCGGCUAACUUCGUGCCAGCAGCCGCGGUAAUACGAAGGGGGCUAGCGUUGCUCGGAAUCACUGGGCGUAAAGCGCACGCAGGCGGAUCGUUAAGUCAGGGGUGAAAUCCUGGAGCUCAACUCCAGAACUGCCCUUGAUACUGGCGAUCUCGAGUUCGAGAGAGGUUGGUGGAACUCCGAGUGUAGAGGUGAAAUUCGUAGAUAUUCGGAAGAGCACCAGUGGCGAAGGCGGCCAACUGGCUCGAUACUGACGCUGAGGUGCGAAAGCGUGGGGAGCAAACA